rnacentral:lncRNA from 1 species
GCACCAACAAGCCAGUUGCUUGUGCUCAGCUCAGGUGUUAGGAGAGAGCUGUGUGGCCUCAUUGUAACCAUCCUCCUUAACCCCCUUCCAGAAAAGCCCAGGAAAUGCAGAGUGUCCCCCCAGGUCGCUCAGGAAAACCUCAACCACCGUCUAAGGGUAGGUUCCUUGCAGGGCAGACUCACAGUUUUCUCAGAUGCUGAGUGUGUCUUUUUGUCCAUCUAAAUAGUUUAUGUGUGUCUGUUCCUCGGAAGCCCUGUUUAUUUUGAUUGAUUGUUAAGCUCUGAGAAUACCUUGAUCCUAAAAAUACAGGGGUCCUAUGAGCUUUUUGGCUUCUUCCUUAGGGAUUCCUCAGAUCUGACUGUAGGUAGGAUUCAAAGUUGGAGGCGGGAAGAAGUUACAUCAGUAAAGUGAGAAUUCAUUGACCCCACCAGCCAGGGGGAGAACUUGGAGAGAACAAAUAUGAUUUUGAACCUGAAUUGUUCCUUUCCAUGACCCAAGGAUGGCAGAGGAGGUUCUUCUGUGAUUACUGCAUAAGCUGUACCGAAUUUGACCCUUGGCUUGGCUAUAAAGUAAGUCCCAUGUGGCUCACACAAGGACUGUGAAGCCAAGUGACCGGUUUUCCUAAUCUCUGGAUAAAGUAGUGAUGGCCUGAGGCGGGGGAGGAGGAACAAAAACCUGAGGAAUGCUUUGAGGAUGCAGGGCACAGAGCUAUUUCUGUGUGGCUUAGGCCACACCGCAGAUACCCUACAUCCUGUGUUCACAUGGCCGCUUUCCCUCCAUCUUCCCGUGGCCAACUCUUAGCCACCCUUCAAGGCCCAGUUCAAGGGUCACCUCCUCAAAGAAGCUAUCUUUAGAGUCAACUCCUGUCUUCCUCCCUUGAAAUCCCAUGCAAAGUUACCUCUAGUUCUGCUAACACUGGUCCCUUUACGCCUUUAUUCUAAUGUGUUUUACCUACGUGGUGCACCUGCUCCCAAGGUGAACAGAAGGAGGAGGGUCCAGGCCGCCUCCCCGGCUCGGUUUUUGUUGGUGGCUGUGAUCCUAAGUUCCAAGCACAGUGCUUGUGAAUUGCUAAAUGCAGAGGCAGUGUGUGAUGCGGGGGAGCCCAGAGAGGGCAUGUCCAGCCGCGGUUGGUGGCGAAGACCCACAGUGGGUCAUCCUUACGGGAGAACUACGUUCGGCAAAGACACUGAUGUCCAGAUCUCCAGGACCUGUGGUCACAGCCUUAUUUGGAAGCAGGGGCUUUGCAGGUUAUCCAGUCAAGAGAGGUUGUAGGGUGGCCCCAAUUCCAUAUGACUGUGUCCCUGCAGGAGAGGAGAGUGUAGACACAGACACACUCCUGCACCGUGGGUGAAGGUGUGGGAAGACCAAGGCGGAGGUCAGAGUGAUGUGGCUACCAGACAAGGAGCGUCAGUUAUUGCCGGAAACCUCCAGAAGCUCUGGGAGAGGCAGACAGCAGCCUCUCCUCACUGCCUCGAGAGGAACAGCCCUGACAACACCGUGAUCUCGGACAAUAGCUCUGUGGUUUAAGCCCCCCAUUCAGAUGCUCUGUGCCAGCAGCCUAAGAAGUUACGGGAGGCCUUGAGCUGACGUCUGUUUCCGCUGGGCACUCCCUUCUCUGCACCAUCUGGAUAAUUCUCACAGUGUCAUCCACUCACACGCAUGCUGUCUGCUCUCUUUUACGUCCGACGAGACCCUCACUCUACAAAUGAGGAGAAGGGAACACAGGAAAAUGAAGAGACUCGAUCUUGGUCCCAUGACUAGUGAGUGGGGAGCUGGGGUCCGCUCAGGGCUUCUGAGCCAGAAGCAGGCUCAGUGAGCCAGAACCUCGUCAUCUGUCCGUCCUUAGCGCAUGGCACGUGGUCCCACCCCCAGGCAGGGCCAGGAGGGUCCUGGGCAGCUUCAGAUGAAGGACAGAGUGAAAGCUCAGUGAAAGCUUCGUGGAUGAAUGGUAAGUUUUCAGGGCAUUACAGAUCAAUUUGAUAAACCAAAAAAAAGUUUUACUUUUAUGCGUCAAUAAAGCCUAAGUCUCUGGGACAUCAGCUGGCAGUAAAAAUUACCUUUCUUUGAUAGAAAAACAUUAUAUAGAAAUGAUAAUAUCUCAGUUGGUGUUUUUUUUGUUUUUUUUUUUGUUUUUUUGGGGUUUUUUUUUGCCCAAGCCCUUGGGAUGCAGAAGCUCCUAGGCCAGGAAUGGAGCCCCCACCAUAGCAGUGACAACAUGGGAUUCCCAACACGCUGAGUCACCAGGGAACUCUAAUAAGACCUCACUUAGGCCCCAGCUCCACUAUUUAUGAACUAUGAAACCUAGUUUCCACAUCUUUAAUAGGGGUUGGUCUGCAUGGUGUCUGUAAUAACUUCCAGGAGUUCCCGUCAUGGCUCAGCCAUAAUAAACCUGACUAGGAUCCAUGAGGAUGCAGGUUUGAUCCCUGGCCUCACUCAGUGGAUCUGGGAUCCAGCGUUGCCGUGAGCUAUGGUGUAGGUCUCAGACGUAGCUCAGGUCCCACGUUGCUGUGGCUGUGGUGUAGACUGGCAGCAGUAGCUCUGAUUUGAUCCCUAGUCUGGGAGCCUCCAUGUGCCACAGGUGUGGCCCUAAAAAAAAAAAAAAGAAAGAAAGCAAGAGAGAAAAAAAAAAGACUAUCAUUGUCAGUUCAGGGCAUUUGACCCAAGAAGAUGGUUCAUUGUGAGAUGGAUCAAUUAAUUGAGCAGAAUAAAGCAAUAUUUUUGUUGAGGCUGUUUAGAAGUGUUUUUUUGUUUUAAUUUUAAAAAAAUCAUUUGAGGGGCAUCUAACACAAAAGAAGUACUAGGAUGAUUGUGAGUAUUCAGAAGCUUAAACUGUCACCCACUGUCAUGAACAUUUAUAAACCAGCUAGAUGCUUCUGUUAAGCAGAAAGAAAAAACACCUUACAACGACUGGAAAACCCACACCACAUCUUCUGAAGUCUUUACCACGGACAUUUUGUGAUCUGAACAUGAGUUUGGAACACUGCUGAUGUGCAUGGAUCGGCACAUUCUGAUUUUUUUUUUUUUUUUUUUUGGUCUUUUUAGGGCCACACCUGCGGCAUAUGGAGGUUCCCAGGCUAGAGGCCUAAUAGGAGCUACAGCUGCCGGCCACAGCCACAGCCACAGCAAUGCAGGAUCCAAGUGGCGUCUGCGACCUACACCACUGCUCAGGGCAACACCAGAUCCUUAACCCACUGACUCAGGACUGAACCUUCAUCCUCAUGGGUACUAGUCACUUCAUUUCUGCUGAGCCAUGAGGGGAACUCCAAUAUGGCACAUUCUGAUGGACUGCACGCUGUCGUCAGAGGUCACUGUCAAUUUCUACUUAUUCCUUUGGCAGCAUCUGGGUUUCAACCUGAAGAGAAAAGUGCUCAAAAAAGGGCCGGGGGCCCUCAGGAAAUGACUGAGAACUAAUUAAACGAUAUAAAUCAAAUAGAGUAGGCUGCAGUCAGCUCAAGGAAAAAAAAUUACAAUUUUGAAGAAUACAAUUUUGGAAAAUAUAUUUUUUUCUUAAUGAAUUUUAUUACAUUUAUAGGUGUACAACAGUCAUCAUGAAAAAUAUACUUUUUGUAAAAAAUUACAAUUUAGACAAAUACAAUUAUGAAAUGAAGUUAAACAGUUCAUAAUUGUACAUACACAAGGAUAUGUGUAUGAACAGCUGUAUUAUGACACACAGGUGACAAAAGUUUGGAAACAGAAAACAGACCAUCCCCCCCAAGUUCUCCACAGGGAGCCAGUGGAGGACCCUGCUGAAGUUGCUAAAUGGCAGGUUUUCAGUCCCAAACAGCUGUGGCAGAGUCCGUGUGUUGAGAAGCAGGGGAAUUCAAAGAUGCAACCCGCUUUCUGAGACUGGCUUCUGCUUCCAAUUCUUCCAUCACUGUGUCUACCUUGCACACCUUGCACUGCUCUCAUCAAGAAACAGUGACUCCCAGGUUCGCUUGUGGAGCAGCAGGUUAAACAUCUGGCAUUGUCCCUGCACCACAUCUUAUGCCACCGCUGUGUCUCGGGUUCCAUCCCUGGCUGGGGGGCUUCCAUCUGCCAUGGGUACAACCAAAAAACAAAGAAAGAAAGAAACAGCGACCCAGCCAACAUACACGACGUUGAACUGGUUACUAAACAGGCUGUGGGAUCAAUGAUAAAAUAGACAUGACAGCUAUGGUGUUGUUGCCCUUUUCUAUAUGUGACUAUUCCAUAUUUGCCUCCCGAAACCUCAGAGGUCACCUCUUUUUAAUAUAUGCUUCCAAGGAUAAAACCAUGAUCUGUCUGGGAGAAUGCUGCCAUUCUUAUGGGUUGAAAUCAUCUCUCGCUGGUAAUGAAAUAUUUAUUUCUCUUCGCAAUAAAAAUCCAUUGUUUUAUUGGUAUUUUUCUUUUUUUCUUUUUCAGCCACAUCGGCGGCGUAUGGAAAUUCCCAGGGGCCAGGGAUCGAAGCUGAGCCACAGCUGCAGCAAUGCAGAUCCUUAACCCACUGUGCCCAGUCCGAGGGUGGAAAUGGCAGCACCACAGAGACAAGCUGGAUCAUUAACCUCUUUCUUUUUCUUUUUCUUUUUUUGCCUUUUGGGGCUGCACGUGUGGCAUAUGGAGGUUCCCGGACUAAGGGUCCAAUUUGGCCCUGCAGCUGCCAGCCUACACCACAGCCACAGUAACACAGGACCCUUAACCCACUGAGCCAGGCUAGGGAUCGAACCUGCAUCCUCGUGGAUACUAGUUGGGUUCCUUACUGCUGAGCCACAACAGGAACUCCUUAUUUUUCAAUUUAAUGUCAUCAUAAAGGAUCAGAGGGCCAGCAAAGGGGAUAUAGUAGCUACUACCAAUGACCUGGAGGGUCCAGGGGGCUGAUUUCUGUUCCAUUUCUCUACAAGGAGAUGGAGGAGAGGAAAGAGACAGUCUUUGUCUGAUAGCCAACUAGUAAAAAGAUGUUUACUUGUGAGAUGGAACCCAACUCACAUUGGCUUUGUCUUCUUUCUGUGCUAAGCAGGACAGGGGCUGUACACUGUUAGAUUUACUGCCAUAACAGUGAUUUGCUGUUCGUAUUGUUGAUCCCCAGGUGCAUAUAAGGAAAGCAAGCCUCAGAGAGGCUAAAUCACUUGCCCAAUAUCACACAGCCAGUAAACGGCUGGAAAGAAUCACGAUCAAAGCCGUGCCUUACCUUUGUAUAAGCAUACUAAUACCUGCAAUGAAAUGUUUGAUCAAGUUCAACUAAUUAGUCCAUGUUUCUCCUUUGGGUUAUAACUUGAAUUCUGUUAUAACUUGAGUUGGACUGUAAUUUCAUGGUAUGAAAUACAAUGCUUAAGAAAUUUAAGGACAUUUGUGAGAACCAAAUACGACUUAACUUGUUGAUGUUUACUAAGGGUCAGAGUUCCCACUGUGGUGCAGUGGGUUGGGGGUCUGGCAUUGCCACAGCUGUGACAUAGGUCGAAGCUAAAUAAUGAUUGGGUUUUUUUUGGCUGUACCUCCAGCAUGUGGAAGUUCCCCAGCCAGGGAUCAAACCCCAGAUGUUCUUGCAACCUGUGCCACAGCUGCAGCAAUGCUGGAUUUGUAACCUGCUGCACUACAAAGGAACUUCCAAUAAUUGAUUAAUUUCUUAAUUAUUCAUAUUUAUAUACGUAUUAACUUUUUUUUUUUUUUUUUUUUUUUGCUUUUUAGGGCUGUACCUGCAGCAUAUGGAAGUUCCCAGGCUAGGGCUUGAAUCAGCUGCAGCUUCCAGAGUAUGCCACAGCCAUAGCCACACAGAAUCCGAGCUGCACCUUCAACCUGUGCCACAGACAGCUUUCAGCAAUGCCAGAUCCUUAACCCACUGAGUGAGGCCAGGGAUCAAAGCUUUAUCCUCACAGAGACUCUGUUGGGUUUUUAACCUGCUGAGCCACAACAGGAACACCGUAGCUAACUUUUGUUCUCUUCUUCAGAAGCCUCAACCAUUUUAACGAGUGGCCCAUUCUGCUGCUGUCUAUAGAUGAGUCUUCCUACAUUCCACUGGGAAGAAAGGCAAAAUCACUUCAAAGUAGGUAUGGGAACUCUGAAUAAGGCGGCACGUUGCCAAAACAAAAAUUUACAUCCUUUGACCUUUCAGAGAAAUUUCUUAAUUCCCAGUAAAAGUGAAAAAUAACAGCUCAAACCAAGCACAACACAAGGAGAGUGAGGAGAGAGGAGAGAGCAGAGUAUGAAUGGAAUAAAAAUCAAUAAAAAGGGAUUUGUGUUCUUAAGUGAAAAAGUAUUUGGACAGUUCCCUGGUUGCCUAGUGGUUAAGGAUCCGACAUUGUCACUGCAAUGGCUUGGUCCAUGGCCCAGGAACUUCCUCACAUCUUGGGCGAGCCCCCACCCCCCAAAAAAGAGAAAGAAAGAAAAUGCAUUUUGCAGGGAUGUUAUCAGAUACAUUACCUCUGAUAAUAUCUCUAACACUCCAUUUCUUUUUUGCACACAGUUUCAACUGUAAUUAUAACAUGUUUUGGUGCUGGGUUAAAAUAUGGUUGCUUUUGCAGCUCAUGCAGAGCCCAGAGAGGAGAGAGAGACGGAGGGAGAGAGAGAAGAAAAAAUUAGUAGCGUUGGAAAAACUGCACAGCGACUACAGGAUGUCCUGUUACAUUUAUCUGCUUAGACAGACCCAUGACUCACUAUAAAACUUGACACAUCGGAAAUGGUUUUAUUGUGCAUGGUACUUUACCCCUCAUAAAUACGAAACACAUAGAUUCGAGGAUAACGAGCGACGGUGGCCCUCCUGUGAAGGCAUCUGCUGCAUUUCUCUUUGAGGUGAGAGGGCUCUCACUUCGGACUCAGAGCAGGUGGUGACCCAGAGCCCACAGGCAGCACCGAGCCCCCCUUCUCUCUGAACUCUCAAAAGCUCUAGACGUCCCUCCUCCCCCUUCUUAAGUCAUUGACAAAUAAAUGACGGGAGGAAGGUAUCUGCGGAUUGAAUCUCUAUGUUUUACCAUCAUUAGCAAAGCUAGGAUAGGACUGGCUCAGCCGAAGAAGGUCCAUUAGCCCCUGAACCACAUGAAAGGGAUGUGGUGCAAAAAGUCGCCAGUCAUCCAGGAACAGCAAUAAUAAUGGCAGCUUCACAGAAAAGGGACGCCAGCACUCUCGUUGUCAUGAAGCAAAGUUCGUGCUUUCAAUUCCAUCAUCGUUUAAAAAGAAAAACAAAGACGUGCAGGAUGAAGAGACACAGAUGUGUCUUUCUCCUCCUCCUCCUCCUUCUCAUUCUCAGUCAUUUACGUGUCUUAUUUAUGUGACCUAAAAUGUCUCCUCUGCCCAAAGACUUCUUGAUGCUGUGACCUCAGCUGAUCUGUGUCCUCAGCUUAUAUUUAUGGCCAAGUCAUAUUAUUUUUAAAAAAUUAAAAAAGAAAAUUUCCCUCAGUCCCCGCAAUGGAAUCAUAAAUGAUGAAAUG